rnacentral:rRNA from 1 species
AACGAACGCUGGCGGCAUGCCUAACACAUGCAAGUCGAACGAGACCUUCGGGUCUAGUGGCGCACGGGUGCGUAACGCGUGGGAACCUGCCCUUAGGUUCGGAAUAACUCCCCGAAAGGGGUGCUAAUACCGGAUAAUGUCUUCGGACCAAAGAUUUAUCGCCUUUGGAUGGGCCCGCGUUGGAUUAGCUAGUUGGUAGGGUAAAAGCCUACCAACGCGACGAUCCAUAGCUGGUCUGAGAGGAUGAUCAGCCACACUGGGACUGAGACACGGCCCAGACUCCUACGGGAGGCAGCAGUGGAGAAUAUUGGACAAUGGGCGAAGGCCUGAUCCAGCAAUGCCGCGUGAGUGAUGAAGGCCUUAGGGUUGUAAAGCUCUUUUACCCGAGAUGAUAAUGACAGUACCGGGAGAAUAAGCACCGGCUAACUCCGUG